CUACCAUCUGUGAAGCUGCUCAGUCCGCAGCGCAUUCCUCCAGCUAUUCCCUCGGGCCCAUGAAGCCGAUGGAAAGCUGCUCCCUUCAGAGCUCUGCGCCACAUAGCUAAGGCCCAUGCUCUGAGAUCAGAGAGAAAUCCUUGUCUCUAUCGUCCAAACAGCAAUCAAUAACGAAGAUUUUUCUUCUUUCUUCUGUAUUCACUGCAGCUGCUGCUGCUGGUGUAGUGAAAACUCACAUUACUAUGAAUUCAUGGUGCAACCACUGGAGAAGAUCGCAUAAAUAUUUGGAAAUGAAAUUUUUUAAACUUGGGGGAGAAUAAGUUUUAAAAAAAAUCUUAAAAUUCUUACAUGAAAUGAUGCAGUUGCUAGAAACUGAAGUAAUAUAUGCUGCACAACUCUUACUCUUGUCUCACCUAAAUUUGCUAUUCUGAUACCAGGAGUAGUGUUCAUCAAAUAGAAAUGCAAUGGCUUCAGCAGUAUUUCUAUUUGAGGUGACAUUAGCUUAAGAAAGAAACACAGCAAAUUUUUCACGCUGCAGUUUCUGAAUCUUAUAAAAUACCUCAAUGGCCUAAGUGAGAACAAGGGGUUUUGAGGACUUGACUUUUGUCAAGUUUUUUUUUGUGGAAAAAUUGUUCCACAGUGAGACCCCCAGAACAUCAAACGUCAUCUGCUGUUUAGUGUUCAAAGAUAAAGAACCCCAUAGUUUAUCAUAGGGACUCAACUGCAGUUAAAAAAAACCACCCUAUUUUGAGUAGAUGCCAUAGCAAUUAAAAAUGUCAAAAACCAACCAAAACAUAAUGGAAAAAAAAAUAAUCUGCACAGUUCACCUGCUUAAGUAGCUGUUUUCUUGACCCUUUCAACCCAGACCUGAGCUCUUAGAAGUGUGUGGAAGAAUCUGUUGAUGACCCUACCAUGUAAAUAGAAUUUAAGAACCUUUUCAAAGCAAGAAUUAAUGAAUACCUGUUGAAAAGAAGGCUUCUUCCCAGUCCUAUCCACUUUUGGUUGGCAGAUACUGCAUCAACAAGCCAAGAGAAAAUGAAUGUGGUUAAAAUAUCAUCAAUUUCAAGGUCCUGUAUAAACACGGUUCUAGUUAGAAAGACAAAGACAACCAUAGAAUAGUUUGGGUCAGAAGGGACCUUUAAAGGUCAUCUAGUCUACCUCCCCUGCAGCAAGCAGGGGCAUUUUCAACCAGAUCAGGUUGCUCUGAGCCCCCCGAGUCCAACCUGACCUUGAACGUUUUCAGGGAUGGGGCAUCUACCACCUCUUUGGGCAAACCUGUUCCACCACCCUUGUUGUAAAAAAUGUAUUCCUUGUAUCUAGUCUAAAUCUACUCACUUUUAGUUUAAAAAUAUCAGCCCUUGUCCUAUCAAGCCAUUUGAUACAUAAUCAAGACUUUCUAGUUCAAAAGCCUGAAAGCUCUUCUGCUGAGUGGGGCAAAGGUAAAACAGCAACCCUGUGCUAAUGCAGUAAUCCAAUAACAGCUUAUGUCUGCAAAGUAGAAGAAUUCUGUUCAUUCAAUUAGUGCAGGAGUUGGCAAAGAUCUUUUAUAAUUACGUUUUCCUUGUUAGAUAGUUAUUCAGCAACAAUUGUUAUUCACAAUGAAAAUACCUGUUCCAGUUUGUGUGCCUGAAUGAGUUACACCUAACACUGAGAUUUAAUACUUCAACAACAUUGCUAACAUUACUUUGGAAGAUGGUAUUACCUGAAGUACAAAUGCAGCUCCUGAAGAAAAAAAGAUAGUAAGUGCAGGAAAACACAUGGCUUCACCAUUUCCUUGCUGGUGUUUUAAAUUUAAUUCAGAAGCCCAUAUAGCAACAGCCCCACUAACUGCGCAAUGAAGUAAAUUCUACCAUAUGAUGAAGUUCUGCCUUACUCCACAGCUCUACCCACGCCAGUCACCCAGCUGGGUGUCAGGUCAAGCCAGCGCUUGCCUUUGGGCUACCCACUGGAUGAACAGGGGGAGGGCAGGACACAAAAGCCUAGCAACUUCAAAAAGCAACCCCUUUUUGCAAAUGAGCCACUUCAUGGACAUUACACAGUGCACAAGCAGUGGCCUUCUGACUUCUUUUCUCUAUAUUCUGUGUCCGCAGAAAUACACAACUGACUAGGGAAUCCGAUUUAUUUUUAUACCUUUCAGAGGUUACUUGUUUCCAGAGCAGCCCAGCUCCCACCUCAUUUUUAGAAAGUUCAUCUCGAAACUCUAACUUUGCAUUUUUAGACCUAUUUCAAAGACUCAGCCCUUCACUUUUUUUCCUCCUAUGAGUGAUCCCCAUGCACUCAUUUCUUUUUCUGUCGAUGAUAAUGGAGAAAACUAUAGAACAAGAGAGUUAUGGACAUGAUUAAAGAUUAUGGGAUAAUGCAAAGUAACUUCCAUCAAAUCUAUCAGAAGAUCCUCACUGUGGCCUUAUAAUUCUGGAAGGCACAACAAAGAAGAACAAUUUUAAAACAGUAAUUCAGCCGUUGACCAUUAUAACAUUAUGCUUCUUCCCCUUUCCUGUUUCACCUGCCUUUUAGACCCUCCCUUGCAAACUGCAAUCAUUCAGCAUUCACUGUGGGAUAGUAUAAAAUUCUGCACCAUGGCAGGGCUGCCAUUCAGAGCUAAAAUACGUCCAUAUACAUAAUGCGGUAGACAUGCAGGAAGCCUAUGCCUCCCUACAAUGCAUGCACGUGCUGUAAAAAAUCUAUACAGGCAAGCAUCCCAUUGACUUGCUGAGUAUGUUGACCAAAUGUACAGAAAGCUUCAUGGCUCCUCAAGAUGUUCAGGUACUAGAUGGUUUUUUGGUGCAUACAUAGCACACCAAACUUGUUGUCAUUGUGCUGUAGCUACUGUGCACUGGAGCAGACCACCAUGCAGAAUGCAUGAUGCUUCUGGGACAAGAUACACUCACCACCCAUGCUCACAAGUCUGCACAGAACCAAGCAUGUCCAGGAUUGCUAGAUAUUUGGAAAUCCUGGAUAAACAUGAAAAAUCCUAGAAUUAUUCAUAGAAACAUGCUCCACAGGAAAAAGAAGAUGCCCAUAGAAAUCCACGAGUACAAUGGCCUUGACAAUGGGAGUCCUGGCUAACUGAGAUCUACAGCAAAUACUAUAUAAGUAGAAAAAUAGCCUUUAACUAUAUAAGGUGGUGAAUCACAAACAAGUUAUGGCUAUAACCCAGUCUGUUCUUGAUAUUUACAUCUAGAGGAGAUGGAAAUAGUCUUCAAGGCAGUUCUUUCAUCUUAUUUUCAUUUGUAUUGUCUAUCGCUGUUAUUUACUUCUAUUAGUAAAGGUCUGCAGAACUCACUGCCUGUACUAAUAUCACUGCAGUGCUGCUGGAGGCACAGAACAGAAGAAUAUCUGGCAGUAAUUGGCUCUCACGAUUCCUAAUUUAAGUGAUUUAUCAUCCAGCUUGCCAAAAAGCCCUAUCAAUUAAACACCACAAAGCACAAUCUUUUUUCCUCUGUGAACAUUCUUGCAAGAAAAAAACGUCAAUGUUAUUGUUUUAAUGCUCACAGUAGUCUUGGGACUCCUCAUUCCCGAGAACUUCAUGGAUGCUGGCAACGCAAUUUUCAUACUGCACUACAGCCUAUUACACCAUUAAGAUGCAAGCAAACAUGGAUCCAAACGCCAGUGCGCACACAGCCAGAAGAACGGCCCCUCACAUCGGCACUGCAGCCUUCUGAGGAGGAUCCCUAGCAGAGGAGAGGCCAGAGCACCACUAACUCAGGAAGAGACCCAACCACCAGGUAACCUCAGGCAUGCAAGCGAAAUCAAUGAUGCUGCUGCUGAAACAGAGCACGUGCACAGGUGCCUUGCCAAAUCAGGGCCUGAAAAAGCUUCAGACAAGGUGUCUUUAAAAUAGCACAAUGCCUCAUUUACCUGCGGCUGGUUUUCCUCUCCUCUCACGGAUACCUCAGCACUAAAUAUUUAGGGAUCCUGUGCCUUGCAGAAUGCAAAACCAGGAGCAGAGUUGCUGAACCCACUUGGGGAGCAGCAGCAGAGGGCAACACUUAAGGAUUUAUCCAAAGGCCUGGAAAAGAACUAACACCAUAAACAUUAUAAAGCUGGGGAUGGGUAAAAAAAUAGGUCCUGGUACAACAGUACGAAGAAGUAGCAGUGCAUUGCCAGAUUUGCUUUCCUUUUUUUUUCUUUUUAGCAAAUGGGUGGCCACAAGCGCCGACUAUGAUGCUACAGCAAGCGGAACUCAACGAGACUUCUCUGGCCAUGCAGUAGCUGGGCAGCCCACAUCCACGUUUUAAAACUGCUGUGGUUUUCCAUGCUGAUGGCAGAUUUCAUGCCGAUUUCUAGGGCUACUGGGUCAGGCUGUGGGUGGAGGGGCUUUGCCUUUUUACAGCGCUUUUACGUUUUGAAGCCCAGACUGCACUCUCACUGCAGCACACCGCACGUUGCCCAGGCAUUCCGGUUUGGAGGGCUGUCAUCUUCCAAACACAGGAUAACAGCUGAACCUAAUCAAACUAGACAAAUGCAUCUUCCCAGCUCCCUUUGCAGAAUCAGGGAGCUAUAAUUAAGGCUGCAUUAGCAUUUCUGUUAUAAAGUCCUACUUUUGAAGCUUCAGUCAACUGUAUUUAAGGCAUCCUGACCAAGGGGCAAUUGACACAGGGAUGAAAACUGAGAAAAACCAGCUCUUACACUAAAUUCAGUAAUAAAAGGUCUUGCUGAUUUUAACUACAUAAACCAAGGCCAAGAAUUAGCUGCUUAUCUGUGGUAGCUUAAAAUCCCUGGUAGGGCUAAAAUACUCACUUUUCCUAGCAUCAUUUAUACUUACAUUCUGAGCACUUGAAUGAUAUCCCCGAUUCUGCAAAGCAAGCGGGUUUAUGGCCUGGCUAACGAGGCUUUUAUACCUAAAUCCCAGCAGCCGUGUCUCCACGCCGUAAGAAGGAUGCACUGCUUUGGCUGGAACUUGAGAUGUGCCUGCAAGUCCACCAGUAUUGCUAUCAGCACCUCCCAGUGCUAGGAUCUAUAAAAUACUGUAUGUGCACAUUAUCUUAAUGACAGUGCCAAGGAGACGGACGACAAGCUCUUCAAACACUUCAAAAGAACUGCCAACUUUUUUU